rnacentral:rRNA from 1 species
AUUGAACGCUGGCGGCAUGCUUUACACAUGCGAGUCGAACGGCAGCGGGGUAGUGCUUGCACUACUGCCGGCGAGUGGCGGACGGGUGAGUAAUAUAUCGGAACGUACCGAGUAAUGGGGGAUAACCAAUCGAAAGAUUGGCUAAUACCGCAUACGUCCUGAGGGAGAAAGCGGGGGAUCGCAAGACCUCGCGUUAUUCGAGCGGCCGAUAUCUGAUUAGCUUGUUGGUGGGGUAAAGGCCUACCAAGGCGACGAUCAGUAGCGGGUCUGAGAGGAGGAUCGGCCACACUGGGACUGGGACACGGCCCAGACUCCUACGGGAGGCAGCAGAGGGGAAUUUUGGACAAUGGGGGCAACCCUGAUCCAGCCAGGCGGCGUGUAUGAAGAAGGCCUUCGGGUUGUAAAGUACUUUUGUUAGGGAAGAAAAGGGAAGUGCUAAUACCACUUUUUGCUGACGGUACCUAAAGAAUAAGCACCGGCUAACUACGUG